UUUAAUUGAAGAGUUUGAUCAUGGCUCAGAUUGAACGCUGGCGGCAGGCCUAACACAUGCAAGUCGAGCGGCAGCACAGAGAAACUUGUUUCUCAGGUGGCGAGCGGCGGACGGGUGAGUAAUGCCUGGGAAAUUGCCCUGAUGUGGGGGAUAACCAUUGGAAACGAUGGCUAAUACCGCAUGAUAGCUUCGGCUCAAAGAGGGGGACCUUCGGGCCUCUCGCGUCAGGAUAUGCCCAGGUGGGAUUAGCUAGUUGGUGAGGUAAGG
rnacentral:rRNA from 1 species